rnacentral:misc_RNA from 1 species
UACGUAGGGGGCGAGCGUUGUCCGGAAUUAUUGGGCGUAAAGCGCACGUAGGCGGCUUGGUAAGUCUCACUGUGAAAGCCCGGGGCUCAACCCCGGGAUGCCAGGGGAUACUGCGGAGCUGGAGACAGGCAGAGGCUGGUGGAAUUCCGGGUGUAGCGGUGGAAUGCGUAGAGAUCCGGAGGAACAUCUGAGGCGAAGGCGGCCAGCUGGGCCUGAUCUGACGCUGAGGUGCGAGAGCGUGGGGAGCGAACAGG